rnacentral:rRNA from 1 species
GACGGAAGGUGCAAGCGUUGCUCGGAAUCACUGGGCGUAAAGAGCGCGCAGGCGGUCGAUCAAGUCGAGUGUGAAAGCCCCCCGGCUCAACUGGGGAGGGUCAUUCGAUACUGAUCGACUCGAAGGCAGGAGAGGGUAGUGGAAUUCCCGGUGUAGUGGUGAAAUGCGUAGAUAUCGGGGAGGAACACCAGCGGCGAAGGCGGCGCUCUGGGCCGGUACUGACACUGAGGAGCGAAAGCGUGGGUAGCAAACGGG